rnacentral:misc_RNA from 1 species
GAAAUGCGAUAAGUAGUGUGAAUUGAAGAAUUCAGUGAAUCAUCGAAUCUUUGAACGCACAUUGCGCCCCUUGGUAUUCCAUGGGGCAUGCCUGUUCGAGCGUCAUUUGUACCCUCAAGCUCUGCUUGGUGUUGGGUGUUUGUCCCCGUCUCCGCGCGUGGACUCGCCCCAAAGUGAUUGGCAGCCGGCGUACUGGUCCCGGAGCGCAGCACAUGUCGCGCAAACGAGUGCCUUGGUACGGCGGCGUCCAUAAGCCCCUCUCUCACGCUCUUGACCUCGGAUCAGGUAGGGAUACCCGCUGAACUUAAGC